CGCGCAGAACCUUACCACCUUUUGACAUGCCUGGACCGCCACGGAGACGUGGCUUUCCCUUCGGGGACUAGGACACAGGUGCUGCAUGGCUGUCGUCAGCUCGUGUCGUGAGAUGUUGGGUUAAGUCCCGCAACGAGCGCAACCCUCGCCUUUAGUUGCCAUCAUUUAGUUGGGCACUCUAAAGGGACUGCCGGUGCUAAGCCGGAGGAAGGUGGGGAUGACGUCAAGUCCUCAUGGCCCUUACACGCUGGGCUACACACGUGCUACAAUGGCGGUGACAGUGGGCAGCCACCUCGCGAGAGGGAGCUAAUCCCAAAAAGCCGUCUCAGUUCGGAUUGUUCUCUGCAACUCGAGAGCAUGAAGGCGGAAUCGCUAGUAAUCGCGGAUCAGCAUGCCGCGGUGAAUACGUUCCCAGGCCUUGUACACACCGCCCGUCACACCAUGGGAGUUGGAUUCACUCGAAGGCGUUGAGCUAACCCGCAAGGGAGGCAGGCGACCACAGUGGGUUUAGCGACUGGGGUGAAGUCGUAACAAGGUAGCCGUAGGGGAACC
rnacentral:rRNA from 1 species